UGUAACUGUUUACUUACAAGUUGUAGAAAACAUAAUGCAACUUGAAUGCAGUUUAAAUCUUUCGCCUUUUACUAAAGAUUUCCGUGGAGAGGAACUUCUCUCCAAGUCGUUUUGGUCUUACAUUUUUUUGGUGGGACUUCAUGCAAGUUACA
rnacentral:snRNA from 1 species